rnacentral:snRNA from 1 species
GUUAUCGUUGCAGUACAUAUAGUAAACUUGGAACGAUACAGAGAAGAUUAGCAUGGCCCCUGCGCAAGGAUGACACAAAAUAUUAACUGUCUGCUAUUAUUUAA